rnacentral:rRNA from 1 species
GACGAACGCUGGCGGCGCGCUUAACACAUGCAAGUCGAGCGAUGAAAUUUCGACAGAUCCCUUCGGGGUGAAGAUGAAAUGGAUUAGCGGCGGACGGGUGAGUAACACGUGAGUAACCUGCCUUUGACAUUGGGAUAGCCUCGGGAAACUGGGAUUAAUACCAAAUGACACUAACUGAUCACAUGAUCAAUUAGUCAAAGAAAUUCGGUCAAAGAUGGACUCGCGGCUGAUUAGCUAGUUGGUGAGGUAACGGCCCACCAAGGCGACGAUCAGUAGCCGGUCUGAGAGGGUGAUCGGCCACAUUGGAACUGAGACACGGUCCAAACUCCUACGGGAGGCAGCAGUGGGGAAUAUUGCACAAUGGGGGAAACCCUGAUGCAGCGACGCCGCGUGAGCGAAGAAGGCCUUAGGGUCGUAAAGCUCUUUUAUGAGGGAAGAUAAUGACGGUACCUAAAGAAAAAGCCCCGGCUAACUACGUG